rnacentral:rRNA from 1 species
CGAGUGGCGGACGGGUGAGUAAUGUCUGGGAAACUGCCUGAUGGAGGGGGAUAACUACUGGAAACGGUAGCUAAUACCUCAUAACGUCGCAAGACCAAAGAGGGGGACCUUCGGGCCUCUUGCCAUCGGAUGUGCCCAGAUGGGAUUAGCUAGUAGGUGGGGUAACGGCUCACCUAGGCGACGAUCCCUAGCUGGUCUGAGAGGAUGACCAGCCACACUGGAACUGAGACACGGUCCAGACUCCUACGGGAGGCAGCAUG